CUCUUUCAUGCUCCCUUGCGGUUCCCACAAUUCCCAGCACAGGAUGCACAGUAGGCUGUGCUGGGAAUUGUGGGAACCGCAAAGGAGCAUGAGAGAG